UUUUAGCCCAGAUUGAAGUGGAAAGCCCGGAGGUUCAAAAGGGAUUUUUUGUAGCCACAAAAGAGCGACCAGCGGAAGCUCCUUUUGUGGUGUACAAAAAACCCUUUUGAACCGAGGACUUGAAACGGAAAGCUGGAUGAGCU
rnacentral:sRNA from 1 species